rnacentral:rRNA from 1 species
GAUGAACGCUGGCGGCGUGCCUAAUACAUGCAAGUCGAGCGGUAAGGCCACUUCGGUGGUACACGAGCGGCGGACGGCUGAGUAACACGUAGGAACGUACCCCAAAGUGAGGGAUAAGCGCCGGAAACGGCGUCUAAUACCGCAUGUGGUCUUCGGACUAAAGCUCCGGCGCUUUGGGAACGGCCUGCGCAUGAUUAGCUUGUUGGUAAGGUAAUGGCUUACCAAGGCGACGAUCAUUAGCUGGUCUGAGAGGAUGAUCAGCCAGACUGGGACUGAGGCACGGCCCAGACUCCUACGGGAGGCAGCAGUAGGGAAUCUUCCACAAUGGGCGAAAGCCUGAUGGAGCAACGCCGCGUGCAGGAUGAAUGCCUUCGGGUUGUAAACUGCUUUUAUCUGUGACGAUUAUGACGGUAGCAGAUGAAUAAGGAUCGGCUAACUCCGUGCCAGCAGCCGCCGUAA